rnacentral:rRNA from 1 species
UAUAGCUUAUGUACUCUUCCCCCGGGCAACCGGGGGAGGUGAAAUCCUAUUGCUAUGUAUAUUUACCCUCAAAGUAUUAUUUAUUUUUUCAAUAUGUUAACUUAUUAGAUGGUUGUUUCUUUUAAAUAAAAGAACAGUUAUCACCGAUUUAAGGUGGUUAUGGCAACGGGGCUCACCUCUUCCCAUUCCGAACAGAGAAGUUAAGCCCGUUAGCGCAGAUGGUACUGCUAAUUGUGGGAGAGUAUGUCGCCGCCUUUU